GGCAUUCUGGCCGAGUGGUCUAAGGCGCUAGCUUCAGGUGCUAGUAGAGAAAUCUGCGUGAGUUCGAAUCUCACGGAUGUCA